UACGUAGGGUGCAAGCGUUAAUCGGAAUUACUGGGCGUAAAGCGUGCGCAGGCGGUUUUGUAAGCCAGAUGUGAAAUCCCCGGGCUUAACCUGGGAAUGGCAUUUGGGACUGCAAGGCUAGAGUACGGCAGAGGAGACUAGAAUUCCUGGUGUAGCAGUGAAAUGCGUAGAUAUCAGGAGGAAUACCGAUGGCGAAGGCAGGUCUCUGGGUCGAUACUGACGCUCAUGCACGAAAGCGUGGGGAGAAAACAGG
rnacentral:rRNA from 1 species